CAGUAGCCGCGGUAAUACGUAGGGUGCAAGCGUUAAUCGGAAUUACUGGGCGUAAAGCGUGCGCAGGCGGUUGUGUAAGACAGGUGUGAAAUCCCCGGGCUUAACCUGGGAACUGCGCUUGUGACUGCACAGCUAGAGUAUGGCAGAGGGGGGUGGAAUUCCACGUGUAGCAGUGAAAUGCGUAGAGAUGUGGAGGAACACCGAUGGCGAAGGCAGCCCCCUGGGCCAAUACUGACGCUCAUGCACGAAAGCGUGGGGAGCAAACAGGAUUAGAUACCCCAGUAGUCCCUGUCUCUUAUAC
rnacentral:rRNA from 1 species